GGGUAUGGGUUCUCAGUGCGUAGCAUCAUGCCUUGAGAAACCCCGAUGUAUCUGAUGUUCACCUAUAGUCGGGUGGCGGCUGGUCGGCGCUGUGGCGCCCGUCAGAUCGCUGAUCCGGUGCGGAGAACUUCGGAGAAGUUGGUGGGCCCAUAUCUGUCAAGACCACUCACCUCACCUUCACGUGGGGCUCCCCGUCACCCUGCAUCGGUCCCGACCGGGGUAGGGUGCGAAAGAGUGAGUGGCACCAAGACGAGAAGACGAUAAAACAAACCCUUGAUGAUGAAGAUAAUGAUGAUAUGUCGGAAAAUAUAAAUAAUGAAGUUUACGGUGCAGGGGAGGGAUACCCCAGUACCGGCGCAGACGUGGGUGGACAAGCGGGCUCCGCUGUGUCGUUAGCUUGUGACCGUGGCCGGAUGGGGGUGGACCACCAGGCCCCCAUUCAUGUUAUCACGACUGGUGAGGAGGAAGAAGGAGACAUUGAAAUGGAAGAGGCUCCGAUAGUAAUACAGCGAGGUGCCGGGUAUUCAACCGCCUUGCUUGGAACGUAUAUAUAAUCAACAAAUAAAGGACACGAAAUACAGCACACUCUUCUCUUAAUACUGAACAUUUUACUAAUGAAUUAUAAAUAGCCUAUAUGCAAGUAUUAUUUACAUAUUUAAUUCGCCACAAACUGCAUACAAUUAUAUGUAAUCACAUAUAAUUAUAUAUAAUCACAUAUAAAAUAAAUACAAUUGUUUGAUGAGAUAAGCUACAAAUACCACUUCCCAGUGACAAUUAAUCUAGAACUUAUAUUUGUCACCAAAAAUUAUGAACAUUAUAAUGUAAUGUGCGCUUUCCCUUUAAUUAAAAUUAUAAUACUAUAAUAACAGAUAGACUGCACUGUUGCUCGUUGCAAAAUGAACAUCUUAAAAUAUCAACCCUGUUUCUACAUACAACUCAUUAAUAUCUAUGUACAACUAUUAUGAUAUACUUUAUACAUUUCUCAAGUAUGAAUUACCACUACGUUCACGAGUGCUUAGAGGAAAACAAGAUAAAUAUAAUU